rnacentral:rRNA from 1 species
GACGAACGCUGACGGUGUGCUUUAGACAUGCAAGUCGAACGAGAAAGCCCUUCGGGGUUAGUAAAGUGGCGAACGGGUGAGUAACACGUGGGCAAUCUGCCCCUCGCAGAGGGACAACCGGAGGAAACUCCGGCUAAUACCCCGUAAGUUCAAAGGGAGGCAUCUCUCUUCGAAGAAAGGUAGCUUCGGCCAUCCGGCGAGGGAUGAGCCCGCGGUGCAUUAGCUGGUUGGUGGGGUAACGGCCUACCAAGGCGACGAUGCAUAGCUGGUCUGAGAGGAUGAUCAGCCACACUGGGACUGAGACACGGCCCAGACUCCUACGGGAGGCAGCAGUCGGGAAUCUUGCGCAAUGGGCGAAAGCCUGACGCAGCAACACCGUGUGUGUGAGGAAGGCC